UAGAAGUGCACCCCUACUCCAUACUUCAUGUAACAACAGAGAGGGAAAGGAGAGAACUCACGAGAGAGGAAGAGGAGGCCGCACUAGCCGCCACCUCCGCCAACCGCACGCGAGAGAGGAGGAGAUCGCAAGUGGGAGAGAGAGACCGAGAGCAAGGGGGGAGAGAAAGGGAACUGGGACAGCAAGAAACCAUCUUCAUUCUCCUCUGUUUUCAAGCUUUAAGACCUAGAUGGUGCUGACUACGAACACGGUGACUUCCUGGAAGUUGAGCCAUGAUGAUGAGGAGUCCGAGCUGGAGCCAGAGGAAGAGCUUCCCAAGGUGACCGACGAUCCUUGGAAUGAGAUGAACCCAUCCGACGAUGAGCUUUUGGGAUAAAUAUUUUAUACAUCUCCGCUGUUUAAUGAAUUUGAGUUCACAUUGGCUUUUAUGUAUUCCGCAAGUUAAUUUGGUAUA